rnacentral:rRNA from 1 species
AUUGAACGCUGGCGGCAGGCCUAACACAUGCAAGUCGAACGAGUGGCGGACGGGUGAGUAAUGUCUGGGAAACUGCCUGCUGGAGGGGGAUAACUACUGGAAACGGUAGCUAAUACCGCAUACCAUCGGAUGUGCCCAGAUGGGAUUAGCUAGUAGGUGGGGUAAAGGCUCACCUAGGCGACGAUCGCUAGCUGGUCUGCGAGGAUGACCAGCGAAACUGGAACGGAGACACGGUCCAGACGCCUACGGGAGGCAGCAGUGGGGAAUAUUGAAAAAUGGGCGCAAGCCUGAUGCAGCCAGGCCGGGGGUAUGAAGAAGGCCUUCGGGUUGUAAAGUACUUUCAGCGGGGAGGCGUUACCCGCAGAAGAAGCACCGGCUAACUCCGUGCCAGCCGCCGCGGUAAUAC